rnacentral:rRNA from 1 species
CCGGAAUAAGUAGCGAAAGCAUGGUGAGAAUCCAUGCCAUCGAAAGUCUAAGGUUUCCUGGGGAAGGUUCGUCCGCCCAGGGUAAGUCGGGACCUAAGGUGAGGCCGAAAGGCGUAGCCGAUGGAUAGCAGGUUGAGAUUCCUGCACCACCGAAAUACUUAAAAGAUGUAAGGGACACAGGAGUGGAAGGAAAGCGAGGAAGAGGAAAGACUCGUAUCGAAAGAUAUAGUGAAAAUAGAAAGUAACGAAUUUCCAAGAAGCACACUGGCGAGAAAAGCUUGCAGAUAUUGUAUAGAGGUGCCCGUACCGCAAACCGACACAGGUAGAUGAGGAGAGGAUCCUAAGAUGAGCGAGAGAAGCAUUGUUAAGGAACUCGGCAAACUGACCCCGUAACUUAGGGAGAAGGGGUACUGGGAUAAAACCCAGUCGCAGAGAAUAGUCCCAAGCAACUGUUUAACAAAAACACAGGUUUCUGCUAAAUCGAAAGAUGAAGUAUAGGAGCUGACACCUGCCCAGUGCUGGAAGGUUAAGGGGAAAUGUCAGGAGUAAUCCGAAGCAUAGAACCAAAGCCCCAGUGAACGGCGGCCGUAACUAUAACGGUCCUAAGGUAGCGAAAUUCCUUGUCAGGUAAGUUCUGACCCGCACGAAAGGUGUAAUGAUUUGGGAGCUGUCUCGACAAUGUACUCGGCGAAAUUGUAGUACUAGUGAAGAUGCUAGUUACCUGCGACAAGACAGAAAGACCCCAUGGAGCUUUACUGUAGUUUGAUACUGGGUUUUGAUUAUUUAUGUACAGGAUAGGUGGGAGACAAAGAAGCAUUGGCGCCAGUCGAUGUGGAGUCGCCCUUGGGAUACCACCCUUAAAUGAUUGAAAUUCUAACCAAUAGUCAUAAACUGGCUAGGGGACAAUGUCAGACGGGCAGUUUGACUGGGGCGGUCGCCUCCAAAAGAGUAACGGAGGCGCGCAAAGGUUUCCUCAGCGCGGACAGAAAUCGCGCAAGAGAGUGCAAAGGCAGAAGGAAGCUUAACUGAGAGACUGACAAGUCGACCAGAUACGAAAGUAGGUCUUAGUGAUCCGGUGGUUGUAAGUGGAAAUGCCAUCGCUCAACGGACAAAAGUUACCCUGGGGAUAACAGGCUUAUCUCCCCCAAGAGUUCACAUCGACGGGGAGGUUUGGCACCUCGAUGU